GGGAUGUUGACAACAUGAGGUGGUGUCUACAGGCAGCUAAACACAGUUUAUUUCCUCAGAGACGACGACGGUAACAAGCAAGGCGGGGCCUCUCGACACCAACUCAACGCUAACUCAAAUUAGGGUGUCAAGGAAUGUCUUGGCUCGCUUGGCUCAUGUUAAUCGCUUUCUCAGUCGGUGUGAUGGGAGUGAACUUUUAUUUUGCUCUAAUGUCGAUAUUAAGGGAACUCUACCAAUCGGAGAAAGGUGUGAAAUAGUGAAGUCGAUUCGUUAAUUUGAUUUAUUUUGUAAAAAUAUUUUAUCAUUGUACAUUUUAUUUAAGUAAUUCUAUUAUUUCUCAAACACACCAUUUGUUGUGUGUGGAAAUGAAAAAU